rnacentral:sRNA from 1 species
UUAAAAAUUAACAAAUGGGAUUAAAUACCUUAUACCGGUUUAAAAAUUAUAUUGAAUUUGUAUUAAAAUGCAAAUUUAAACAUGUUUUAUAUGCAAAUAAGGGUGUUAUUUUUGAAACCCCAUACAAAUUAGUUUUUCGGAAUCCACGUACGGUACCGAAAGUUUUUCACGCGUACCGACCCCAAUUUUGGUAUCGGAGGGUAAAUAAAGAAAAUACAGCGAAAUUUCCCAACAAAUACAAUUAUUUGUUCCAAAUUUUAAUGCAUUUUUACUUAUAUUUACAAGGUUUUUACGCCAAUUUUACAGUGGCUUUAACAUUGGUUAUUAAACACGCCGCACUUAGGGUUUACUUUUAAACCCCUGUUUAUAUACUUGUUAUUAACAAAUAGGUUUUCUAAUUUUAUUUGCCAUUUUUUGGUCUUUAUAUUAAACCGUAUAAUAACCUUUCUAAUUAUAUAUUUUCAAGUGUUUUUCAAAUUAUAACUUAUUAAUGUUGAAGUUUUAUUUGGUAUUAAAUUGCAAAAUUUAAUUUAUUCGUUGGAAUUUUUUAAAACUCUCAAAUAAAUAUUUCCGUCCUUGAAAUUAUUAGUUAAAAACGCACUUAUAAAAUCAGUUUGUUUUAUUUCCAAAUUUUAUAUAUUAAUUUUAAUUAAUUAUAUACGUUGCAAAAGCUAUAUAUUAACAUUAGCAAAUAUUCUAAUAUAGUUCAAUUUGUUUACCUAUAAAAACCUCCUAAUAGCAAAUUUGAUUUUAAAUUUUCUAAAUUUGUUAUUAUUAUUAUUGAACUUGAAUACCGGCCGGAUAAAAGCUAAUUUGCGGUUUAUAAACAUUUUAAUUUUUGGAAUAAAUCGGAAAACUUCCGCAAUAAUAAUUUGGUAGAAUUGGAACGUUUUAAUUAUUAUCCGGGUAAUGUUUCUAAGUUUUCUUAAAACGGUAGUAAUUAUUUAAUUUGCCAUGUCUAAUAGAUUUUCAAUUUAUUUAUAUAAGUGAAAAAAUAAUAUACGUAAUUAAUAUUCUUUGGGUUUGGGGCUUCAAACUGCAUAUUCAAAUUUAUAAUUUAUAUUUUAAAUAUUAAAAUACCGGAGCUUCCGUUAAUUCUGUUAUUUUAAAUAUUAAAUUAAACACUGUUACGGUUACAAAUUUGGAGGAAGUGGGCGAAUAAUAAAUUAAAUAAAUUUGGAGAAUAUUAUAUUAAUAAAAGUGAAAUGCCUAAUAACGGGUAAUAAAAAAUAAAUGUAUAUUAAAUUCAAAUCUGUGGCGUUAUAAACGUCGUUUUCAAACCUAAAAUUGAAAUUAUUUUCUAAAUUUGGAUUCUCCCUUUUUAAAAUUUGGAACGUUUUGCUUGGAAUAAUUAUACUUUUAACAGAUAUACUUUUUGUUUGUUUCACGGUAGAACUUUUAUAUAUAGCCUGUGUUACGGGAGUAUAACCCAACGUUAUAAAAUUAAACAAACGGGCUAGAAAUUGUAUUAUUUAAUUUAAGGAUUUAAUUUGCUGCAUUUUUAACGUCUUUCUAAUGGUAAGAUAAUUUGAUAUACGGUGUUAAUAACCCGAAAAUAAUUCAAAUUAAAUUUGAAUAUUAAUUUAAAGAAGAAUAUAAGUACACUUUUUUGGGAAAUUUUAAUUUCCUAUUAAUUACCGCUAUAUAGUUAAUUUAAUUAGUUACUGUCGGUAAUAUAUAAUAAUAUAAACAAAAUACUAAAUUUACAAUUAUAAUAAAUAAUUUGAACUUAUUUAAAAUAAUCUUAGCCGACCGUUUUAUUAAUUUAUUUUGGCAGUGGUUGUAAAAUUUGGAAAUAUUAAAAUUAUUGUUUUUAUUUGCAAACCAAUUUCAAAAUUAUAUAUUAAUUUUAUACCCUUUAUUAAAAUAAAAGUUAAUAGGGUAGCGCCGGUACGUAAACUUUAAUAUUUUAACACAACCUUUAAUAAUUAAUAAAACCGUAAAUCCAGUUUAAUUUGGUAGUGGAAUUAGCCACCGUGAACGGAAUUAUAAAUUACUUAAUAAUAAAAAUACAAAUUCUUCAUUAUAUAAACUAAAUAUAAAAUUUAUUAUAUUAUUUUUAGAAAAUUGAAAACAUUAAGGGGCUUAAAAAGUUCCGCCCUAUUUGUUCAUUUUAAUAAAAUGGCUUUAAUGACAAUAAUGCAAUUAACAGCCCUACCUUUCUUAAAAUUAAAUAAACCGCUUAUAUUUUUAGCGGUUUUUUUAAAUAAUAAUAAUCUUAUAUACCCUAAACGCUUAUAUUAUAACAAGGUCUUUUUGGCAUAAAUUUUAUUAUAUUAUUUGUAAUUUCGUUUUUGUUUAACUAUUACCUAACCGUCGGUAAGUCGGUUUAGGUUUUAAAAAAAUUCAUUUACAGAGGCCUAUAUUAAGUCCAGUAAUAAAAAAGGUUUUAACAACGGAUUUUUUUAACGGAAACUUUCUUCUUCCGGAAUUAACUUUUUUUGAAUUUGGCUGCGUAAAAAGGUUAUUUAACAAUUUACCUGGUUUAUAAAUUUUAAUUAUACGUGGAGUUUUAGGGUGCAUUACGCUGAACUUUUACAUUACAAGUAGUUUUACGGUUAUACUUUUAUUUUAUUAUGGACUUAGCUUUUCCGUUACCGUAUUUUCUACCGGUUUAAAAUUGGUAUAAACUUUAUAAUCGUUUUAAUUUCAAGGGAUUAAAUUAGUUAAAAUUACUUGCAAUAGGGUUAUAUAACCUUCCAUAACUAUUUAUAAAACUAAAUUAAAACCGUUCUUAUAUUUAUCAAUAAUAUAAGCGUGAUUCGAAACGAUAUGUGUAAAAUCUCAAAUAAAAAUAUCAUAUUUUAUAUUUCCAAACAAAACGAGUUUUUGGUAAUAUUUAGGCGCCCCCACACUUUCCGACUUCGAUUAUACAAAAUAUUUUAAUAAUACGGCCCUUUUAUUAUAAUAUAUUAGUUGAAUAAUAGUAUUUAUUUUAAACAAAAGGACAUAUAAAAUAUUAUUUCACGUAAUUGUUUUAAAUUUGUUAGUUUUGAAAUUAUACCGGAUGUAUUUUUUAAUAGCUUUAAUACUAAUAAACUUAACAGGGUUAUUUCCGGUGCCGAUUUCAAUUAUUAAAUCGGGGAUAUAAUUAGUAAAAAACUAUAUAUUUGCGAAAAUAUAAUGUGUAGCAUUUAUAUUAUAUAAAAUUGGGUAAUUUAAUUUCCUGGCUUCUUAAUUUUUAUAUCACGCCGUUUCCAAACUUUGUUUUAAUUUUAAAAUCAAUUCCUAAUAUUUGCAACUUAAGCGUUUCACCCGUAUAAUCGCAUUCCAAAUCCAAUUUCGAAUAUAAUUUUAUAAUACUGCUAAUAACGGGAUUAACCUCCUAUUAUAAUAUCUGGUACGGUAUAUCACCGUCUAAAUCGCCUAUUUGUUCCGAAAUGUUAUAAGGUGCGUAUACUUUAGCAUUCCCGAGAAUAAAAUCCGUACAUAACUUGAAAUUAAUUAAAAUUAUAAAGGUUCCAACGUUCGAUUCGUUAAAAUUGGAGGAUUUAAUUUUUGUUGCAAAAAAGAAAACUAAAUUAGAAUUUUGUCUUUUUUUCGUAAUUUUAAAAUAUUACUUUGCCUGUUAUUUUCCUAAUGUUUUUUUUAAAGCGGUCGUAUUACUGCUUCUUUUAAUUUUUAAUUGAAUAAUUAAUAGUUUUAAUUAUUAAAAAGUCUAUAGUUAAACUUUCAAAUAUAAAAUCCGCUACAAAAUAUUCAAAACUUAAUUUGGCCAAAAUUUGGUUAAUAAUUUGCAAAGCCCGUUGGGUAUUGCGCUGUCGGUUGGUUUAAAUUAAAACAACUUUUUCCAGGGCCCGUAACUAUUGCUUCUUAGUAUUUAUAGGGUUAAUUUGCACGUUGGUAAUCGUUAUUUUAAUUAUUAAAAAAUUAAAACGGUUAUUAAAUUUCAAUAAUAAUUUUUCAAAUUUUGAAGAAUUCGCCGCGUGGAAUUUGCAAUAUGAUUUAUUUUGAUUAAUUUUAAAUGCAAUUAAAUAACUAUUCUCUAAAAUUAUAUAAAUUAUUACAAAACUGGAACAUUAUAUAAUAAAUACCAAUAAUAUUUUAACCAGGUUAUUUUUUAUAAACAACAACAAAAUAAUCGGUUGUACUCCGCUAAAUUAUAACCAAUUUUAAAGUUGGAAAUAAAUGCCGCAAAUUGUAUAAUUUUAAAUCGCGUUGUAAAUGCCUAGUUUUACAAAUUGAAAUUAUUAACUUUUAUUAUUUUGCCAUUCUUAGCGGAAAUAUGCCCGUUUUAAUAAUUUUCUAUUUAUUCCAUAAUUUAAAAUUAAAUUACCAGGUGCUGUAAAUAAUACAGUAAUAUUAUCAGCAUAAAAAAUUUGUAAAUUGACCUCCAAAUUACCGCUAUAAAGGGUAUUAAUACCCGCAAUACCAUUGCAAUUAAUAACUUUAUUUGUUAAAAUUUAUAAAAAUAUCAAUAUUUAAAUUAUGUAUUAGAAUUAAUCCAUUUGGGCAAUUAAUAUUUUUAAUUACAGGUCUUGAACUUAUAAUUUAACGGUUUAAACUUCUUUUGGGCUGGGUUCAGGUCCUUUAUUUAGUGAAAUUAAAUUUGGAAAACCCGAUAUGGGGCUAUUCUUUCUUAUAAAAUAUCCUAAGUUUUAAUUGCGAAACUAAUUAACCUAAUUACCUUAAAAUAAAUACCCUAACUGAGGACUUUUUAUAGCCAUUUACCUUGCAACAAUUACUGGUUUAUACGUGCCAAAAAUAUAAAGCUUAUUAUUAUUUUUAAUGGUCGAAUUUAUUAAAAAUAUAGGGUUGGAAUUUGUAAAUAUUAUAAUUAAUAGGUACUUGGUAUUUAUAUUAAUCCAAAUGCACGUAAUAAACGAAAUUCGAUUCGUUGAAUAAACGCUGGGUAAAAUACAGGGUAAAAAUUAAUGGAUUUGUAAAUUAUUAGCGAACGAAUUUAGGGGUUUUAAUUUAUUAAUCGACAUUUUACAAAAAUAUAUUAAAAGUUUAAACAAAUUAUAAUAACGAUAUACAAUUUACACAAAUUAUACUAAAAUUGUGUAAUUUGCAAUAUAAUAUAUUAGCAAACAUUAUAAUUUUGCAAAGCUCGGCUUGAAUUAAACGCUAAUUUAAUAACCCCUUAUUAUAAAUAUAUGGGAAAUAAGUGUUAAUAUAAUAUUUACAACUAAUAAUUUGUAUAAAAACAGCAAUAGUUUCGUCAACAUACGUGCUGUGGAAAUAUAAAUAGAAAACAAAUCGAAAUUUGGAAUUUGAAUUCCUUAACAGUAUAAAAUACAUUUUAAUAUAUUAGUAACCAAUUUUUCCGGGUUUAUAACCUGUUAAUAAUAAAUGUGCUACGGAUUCGUGCUAAUUGCACGUAUUUCUAUGGAUAAAUAAUAGCGGGGAGCACGUAAAAGUUUACGUUAUAUAUAAGGGAGGAAAAGUCGCCAAGACCUUCUCCGUACCCCUUUCUCUCUUCUUCCUUUUAGCGAUAAUAAUAACUCCUUUCGGGUACGCAACUGUUAUAUGGCCGUUAACUUACCCUAUAACAGCAGGUGCAAAAUAGGUAUUAAAUACGGUAUUGGGUAAUUAAUCCCAUUCGCUAACCCUUGAAUCGCAACUCUUAUAUUAAAUAUAUUAAUGAAAUUCAAAUAACCCCAUUUAGGCGCUCUUUACCAUAAACUGUAUACAAAUGAAAGUGGACUUAUAAUAUGUAAAAUAAUAUGUAAAAUAAUAUAUAUAGUUAGUAUUUAUAUUAUAUUCUUUGUUUUUCCUCUUGUAAUUAUAUAUAUUUACAUAUAUACAGCCUGACAAAGGUAAAAUAAUUCAUCUGGGCUAUACAGCUGGUUUAUAUAAACAAAGGUCAGUUUAUUUCCCUCUAUUUUCGCCCUAAAUUAAGAGCCUUUUUUAUAAUGGGGGUAAAUGUUUAUUUAUUGCAAUAAAUAAUUUAUAAUUAUAUAAUUUCGAGGGUCCGUUGGUAAAGUUUUAUUUCCCUGCACAAUUAAUAGUUUUAAAUCUAAAAGAAUUACUUAACACGUUUAUUUCGUUUCCAAAUCUGGGAAUUUUAAUAAAAGUUUGCAAAUUGUGAUAAUUUAUAAAUAUAAUUAUAAACGAUAUAUUAUUUUUCAAGGAAUAUUUAUAGCAUUUAGAACUUUA